rnacentral:rRNA from 1 species
AGAGUUUGAUCAUGGCUCAGAACGAACGCUGGCGGCAGGCUUAACACAUGCAAGUCGAACGCACUCUUCGGAGUGAGUGGCAGACGGGUGAGUAACGCGUGGGAACGUACCCUUUGGUUCGGAAUAACCCAGGGAAACUUGGGCUAAUACCGGAUGCGCCGGAAACGGGAAAGGUUUACCGCCGAAGGAUCGGCCCGCGUCGGAUUAGCUAGUUGGUGGGGUAACGGCCUACCAAGGCGACGAUCCGUAGCUGGUCUGAGAGGAUGAUCAGCCACACUGGGACUGAGACACGGCCCAGACUCCUACGGGAGGCAGCAGUGGGGAAUAUUGGUCAAUGGGCGCAAGCCUGAACCAGCCAUGCCGCGUGAGUGAAGAAGGCCUUAGGGUUGUAAAGCUCUUUCAGCGGGGACGAUAAUGACGGUACCCGCAGAAGAAGCCCCGGCUAACUUCGUGCCAGCAGCCGCGGUAAUACGAAGGGGGCUAGCGUUGUUCGGAAUUACUGGGCGUAAAGCGCGCGUAGGCGGAUAUUUAAGUCAGGGGUGAAAUCCCAGGGCUCAACCCUGGAACUGCCUUUGAUACUGGAUAUCUGGAGUUCGGGAGAGGUGAGUGGAAUUCCGAGUGUAGAGGUGAAAUUCGUAGAUAUUCGGAGGAACACCAGAAGCGAAGGCGGCUCACUGGCCCGAUACUGACGCUGAGGCGCGAAAGCGUGGGGAGCAAACAGGAUUAGAUACCCUAGUAGUCC